AACGAACGCUGGCGGCAGGCCUAACACAUGCAAGUCGAGCGCCCUUUCGGGGGAGCGGCGGACGGGUGAGUAACGCGUGGGAAUAUGCCCUUCUCUACGGAAUAGCCUCGGGAAACUGAGAGUAAUACCGUAUACGCCCUGUGGGGGAAAGAUUUAUCGGGGAAGGAUUAGCCCGCGUUGGAUUAGGUAGUUGGUGGGGUAAUGGCCUACCAAGCCGACGAUCCAUAGCUGGUUUGAGAGGAUGAUCAGCCACACUGGGACUGAGACACGGCCCAGACUCCUACGGGGGCAGCAGUGGGGAAUCUUAGACAAUGGGGGCAACCCUGAUCUAGCCAUGCCGCGUGAGUGAUGAAGGCCUUAGGGUUGUAAAGCUCUUUCAGCUGGGAAGAUAAUGACGGUACCAGCAGAAGAAGCCCCGGCUAACUCCGUG
rnacentral:rRNA from 1 species